rnacentral:rRNA from 1 species
CCACAGAACUUGCCAGAGAUGGCUUGGUUGCCUUCGGGAACUGUGAGACAGGUGCUGCAUGGCUGUCGUCAGCUCGUGUUGUGAAAUGUUGGGUUAAGUCCCGCAACGAGCGCAACCCUUAUCCUUUGUUGCCAGCGGUCCGGCCGGGAACUCAAAGGAGACUGCCAGUGAUAAACUGGAGGAAGGUGGGGAUGACGUCAAGUCAUCAUGGCCCUUACGACCAGGGCUACACACGUGCUACAAUGGCGCAUACAAAGAGAAGCGACCUCGCGAGAGCAAGCGGACCUCAUAAAGUGCGUCGUAGUCCGGAUUGGAGUCUGCAACUCGACUCCAUGAAGUCGGAAUCGCUAGUAAUCGUGAAUCAGAAUGUCACGGUGAAUACGUUCCCGGGCUGGGUACACACCG